UACGAAGGGGGCUAGCGUUGUUCGGAAUUACUGGGCGUAAAGCGCGCGCAGGCGGCUAUCCAAGUCAGUGGUGAAAGCCCGGAGCUCAACUCCGGAACUGCCAUUGAAACUGUUUAGCUUGAGGACGAGAGAGGUGAGUGGAAUUCCCAGUGUAGAGGUGAAAUUCGCAGAUAUCAGGAGGAACACCAAUUGCGAAGGCAGCUCGCUGGGACGGUACUGACGCUGAGACGCGAAAGCGUGGGGAGCAAACAGG
rnacentral:rRNA from 1 species